CUACGGGUGGCUGCAGUGGGGAAUAUUGCACAAUGGAGGAAACUCUGAUGCAGCAACGCCGCGUGGAGGAUGACACUUUUCGGGGCGUAAACUCCUUUUAUAUAGGAAGAAGAUGACGGUACUAUAUGAAUAAGCGCCGGCUAACUCCGUGCCAGCAACCGCGGUAAUACGGAGGGCGCAAGCGUUACUCGGAAUCACUGGGCGUAAAGAGCGUGUAGGCGGAUUAAAAAGUCAGAAGUGAGAUCCUAUAGCUUAACUAUAGAACUGCUUCUGAAACUCUUAAUCUAGAAUAUGGGAGAGGUAGAUGGAAUUUCUGGUGUAGGGGUAAAAUCCGUAGAGAUCAGAAGGAAUACCGAUUGCGAAGGCGAUCUACUAGAACAUUAUUGACGCUGAGACGCGAAAGCGUGGGGAGCAAACAGGAUUAGAUACCCUCGUAGUC
rnacentral:rRNA from 1 species